rnacentral:rRNA from 1 species
GACGAACGCUGGCGGCGUGCCUAAUACAUGCAAGUAGAACGCUGAAGGAGGAGCUUGCUUCUCUGGAUGAGUUGCGAACGGGUGAGUAACGCGUAGGUAACCUGCCUGGUAGCGGGGGAUAACUAUUGGAAACGAUAGCUAAUACCGCAUAAGAGUAGAUGUUGCAUGACAUUUGCUUAAAAGGUGCAAUUGCAUCACUACCAGAUGGACCUGCGUUGUAUUAGCUAGUUGGUGGGGUAACGGCUUACCAAGGCGACGAUACAUAGCCGACCUGAGAGGGUGAUAGGCCACACUGGGACUGAGACACGGCCCAGACUCCUACGGGAGGCAGCAGUAGGGAAUCUUCGGCAAUGGACGGAAGUCUGACCGAGCAACGCCGCGUGAGUGAAGAAGGUUUUCGGAUCGUAAAGCUCUGUUGUAAGAGAAGAACGAGUGUGAGAGUGGAAAGUUCACACUGUGACGGUAUCUUACCAGAAAGGGACGGCUAACUACGUG